CUUUGUGUGCCCUUCCCAGGCGAGGCCCCUUGGGCCCCCGGGUGCCGGUACCUCGCAGCCCUUCUGGGGCCCCACCACGCGGGUCACAUUGCAGAUCUACCACGCGAGGCAGACAGACGCUGCCCGGUGUGCUUUGUUCCGUUCUGUAAACGCGGCCCAGAGUGGCAUGUUCGUGUGCCUGGCUCUGUGACAUGACAUUGUCUGGGGACUCGGUUAUCAUUGCUCUGAAUAACUUUUUUUUUUGAAGGCCUUUUGAGCAGGGCUGCGCUGUCCUUGAGGAGAGCUAGGGGCAAGGUGGCCUUUAUGCAGUGAGUCGCCCCUCGUGGGGUGUGAGGGACGGCUGUCCUCCCCAGACCCUGAAGCCCAGAGUGAAAUUGGACUGUGUCCGUAUGGCCCUGAACCUGCCCGAGGAGUUUUGGGUAGGCUCCUCUCGGUGAGACUCCUGCUUCCCGUAAAGCAGCCUUUACCACAGCUCAUUCUGGCCAGGUGUUUACAAAAGUGCCUUACUGCAUUUCUGCUCAAGAAUGAGUUUCCCUGUUUGGGAUUUAUUCUGCUGUGGCCCUGAACUAUUUGAGCAGGUGGUAGAUACUAGGGCAUACUCAGACUUUUUAGCUGUAUUUUAUACCUAAGAUCUCACGGCAGGUUUACUAGUAGAAUUAGAGGAAGUAGUCUCCUGCCGCCCCGUAAUGCCACCAGUCAGCCCUGGGGGGACUAACUGUGAACCCCGGAGCCCCCGCGGCCAGGCACCCCCCCGCCUCUGAGCCUUCUUGUGGGCCUGGGACUCGGGCUGCCUGAGCCUUUGUUGUGUUCGCACAGGUGAAAUUUUGUAUUUUCUCAACUUAGGUUGCCUGAACUGGCGGGAACGUUCCGAGCAUUCUGAGGCUUUCUGUAGCGAGGAUUCUAGAGUGGCAUCCGCGGCGGGAGCAGGCUUGGGAGAGGAGGGUGGGUGUCGACGGCCGCAGUUCAGGAGGCGUGGCUGUGAGGACGCGCACAGGCCCUCCCAGGGUGCGCAGGAGCCCCCUUGCUGAGGGGCCCGGCCCCUGGUUCAGCCGGGCCAGGCCCGCCUUGGUGCUCCAGGGGAGGGUCCAUAUAGUCAGUGUCCUGUACCUGCCCUUGGCUGGCGGGCACACACUUCCCGCCUGCUGUGGUCACAAGGAGACACGGAUGUGUUCCCCUGUUGAGAGCAGAGUCUGCUGGGCUCAGUCCACACGGAGCUGCGUUGGAGCAGCGAGCAAGCUCACCUGCUGGGUGAGCCCCAUCCAGACCGCUUUUCCCCGCCGGACAGUGGGGACUCUCCCUGUUGAGGGGCUUCCUUGACCACCAAGGAGUAACUGAUUCGAUAAAAUAAGUUUAAAAAAUUUCUUACCAUUUUCUCAACUAGUCUGAGUUGCCGUGGCUUUGAAGUCAAAAGGCUGCAUGUUGUCCCUGGAAAGUGGGCACAUAGAGGGACUUUUUUUUCCCUAGUUAGUGACGAGGAGUCAUCCAUCCUACGUGGGCCCCGCUAUUUGUUACCCGGCUGGCGGCG